CUUCAGCUCUUCUCUUUCCCUCUUCAAUUUUAAAACCCGCUUGGAAAGCAGAAGCAGGGAGCAUAUAGAAAAAGCAGAACAGAUCCCUGAAUAACCACCAUCGCUACGGUCAAUAGAAACAGCACCGCCGCAGUCACCACCACUACCUUGAGAGGAUGUUCAAAAUCUUCAACAGAGGAAAAGAAACUGCCAGCGAUUUCUCACCGCAAUCAUCGCCGUCUCCUUCCUCGUCGAUGUCGCCGUCUCAUGUGACUGGACCGCCGAGGCCUAUCAAUUUGGUGUACCGCGACAGGGAUGGGAAGUUCCGGAUGGAUCCAGAAGCAGUUGCCAUGCUUCAGCUGGUUAAGGAACCAAUCGGUGUCGUUUCGGUUUGUGGUCGCUCUCGCCAGGGAAAAAGCUUCAUUUUGAAUCAGGACCUGUACUUGGGUUAUGUGCUGUAGCUUCUUGGGAAGAGUAGUGGGUUUCAGGUAGCACCAACUCAUCGACCGUGUACAAAAGGACUUUGGUUGUGGAGUGCACCUAUAAAGAGAACAGCUCUUGAUGGGACUGAGUACAAUCUUUUACUAUUAGAUUCUGAAGGGAUAGAUGCUUAUGAUCAAACAGGGACUUACAGUACUCAGAUAUUCUCUUUAGCUGUUCUCUUAUCUAGCAUGUUCAUUUACAAUCAGAUGGGUGGCAUAGAUGAAGCUGCACUUGAUCGUCUGUCUCUUGUCACUGAAAUGACAAAACAUAUUCGAGUGAGAGCUUCAGGAGGAAAGAGUAAAGCUUCUGAACUAGGACAGUUCUCCCCUAUAUUUGUUUGGCUUCUAAGGGACUUCUAUUUGGAUUUAGUAGAGGAUAAUAGGAAAAUAACACCCCGUGACUAUCUAGAGCUUGCCCUAAGGCCAGUUCAAGGUAGUGGAAGAGAUAUAGCUGCCAAAAAUGAGAUUCGAGAUUCCAUUCAAGCUCUCUUUCCAGACAGAGAAUGCUUCACCCUUGUGAGGCCUUUGAACAAUGAAAAUGAUCUCCAACGACUUGAUCAAAUAUCGUUGGACAAAUUAAGGCCAGAGUUUAGAGCUGGACUGGAUGCAUUGACAAAGUUUGUUUUCGAGAGAACGAGGCCCAAGCAAGUUGGGGCCACUAUAAUGACAGGUCCAAUUCUUGUUGGUAUCACAGAAUCUUAUUUGGAGGCUCUCAAUAAUGGUGCAGUACCCACAAUAUCCUCUUCAUGGCAGAGUGUUGAAGAAGCUGAGUGUCGAAAAGCACAUGACACUGCCACUGAAGUUUAUAUGUCCACUUUUGACCAUUCGAAGCCAGCUGAGGAAGCUGCUCUGAGGGAAGCACAUGAUGAAGCAGUUCAAAAAUCAAUCGCUGCAUUUAAUGCUAGUGCUGUGGGGAUUGGUUCGGCAAGGACAAAAUAUGAAGGACUUCUGCAUAAAUUCUUCAAAAAGAAAUUUGAGGAGUAUAAGAAGAAUGCAUUUAUAGAGGCAGACUUGCAAUGCUCAAAUGCAAUACAAAGCAUGGAAAAAAGACUCAGAGCAGCUUGUCAUGCUUUGGAUGCGAAUGUGGAUAAUGUUGUGAAGGUGAGUGUUCACUAUUGCUAACAAUGUUAUGUAUUAAUUUUGAGUCUGUCUGCUGCUUUAAUGUCAUUGCUAGAUGUCUUCAGUUGAGGAUCCUAACAUUUAAGAGGUGGAUCAAAUAGGCUACAUUUAUGUUUUGACGGGUAAAAAAAAGUAAAGCUGGUUUUGUCUAUUAGUUUUCCCCUUCAUAUGUUUUUUGUUUCCUUGGCUGGCUUGUAUUGCAAAGGAGCCUGUUGGUCUGUUUUUUGGGUGAGUGGCCUAUGCUUUAACCGUUUCAUGAGAACCUAUAUCUGUCACUGCAUUUUUCACUAUGGAAUUGAUACUCUCUAAUUGUAUUAGUGCUUAUAAUAAUGUGUGAAAUAUAUCAUUGAUAAGAACUUAAUGGCUUCAGAAGAAUAUGUAUUUAAUGAGGAUGACUUGGCAUGCAUCUCCCUUAUGUGCAAGGUUUUUUAUUGUUGAUGGAUUUGCCAUUAAACUCGGAAUAAUAUUGCAGAAGUUGGUUGUCAUUUUUUGUGUUAAACUAUGUUUAUACUUGUUUGUGAAUAUUCCGUGCAGGUUCUCGACAGCCUUCUAUCUGACUAUGAUAAAUCAUGUCAUGGCCCAGGGAAAUGGCAGAAAUUGGUUACUUUCCUACAACAAAGUUUGGAAGGUCCAAUCCGUGACCUUUCCAAGAGGCUUAAUGAUCAAAUUGCAACUGAGAAGACUUCCCUCUCAUUAAGAUGUCGCUCAAUUGAGGAUAAGAUGGAAAUGCUUAACAAGCAACUGGAAGCUAGCGAGAAACAUAGGUCUGAAUACAUGAAACGUUAUGAUGAAGCUAUCAGAGAGAAGAAGAAGCUAUCUGAUGACUUUAUGAAGCGCAUGUCUGACUUGCAGAGCAGUCGCAGUUCACUAGAUGAGAGGUGUUCUAGCUUAUUGAAAACAAUGGAAUCUACUAAGCAAGAAGCCUCAGACUGGAAAAGAAAACAUGACCAAUUGUUAUCAAAGCAGAAAGCUGAUGAAGGCCAGAUAAAUUCAGAAAUUGGAAUUCUUAGGUCUCGAACCAGCGCUGCAGAGGCAAGGCUGGCUGCUGCUCAUGAGCAUACCAGGUCAGCUAAAGAAGAGGCAGAAGAGUGGAAACGGAAGUAUGACAUUACUGUAAGAGAAACAAAAGCUGCUCUUGAGAAGGCAACAAUUGUGCAAGAGCGAACGAGCAAAGAAACGCAAUUGAGGGAAGAUGCUUUGCGAGAGGAAUUUUCUAGUCGUUUGGCAAAAAAGGAAGAGGAAAUAAAGGAGAAAAAUGGGAAGAUAGAGUAUGCUGAGCAAUGUAUGACAACUAUAAACUUGGAGUUAAAGGCUGCUGAAUCAAAAAUUAAGAGUUAUGAUUCCGAAAUAUCAUCCCUGAAGCUUGAAAUCAAAGAGGUGGUUGAGAAAUUGGAGUCUGUGAAUGCUAGGGCACAAUCUUAUGAAAGAGAAGCUAGGAUACUGGAGCAAGAGAAGAUCCAUUUGGAGCAGAAGUACCGAUCUGAGUUUGAGAGGUUUGCAGAAGUCCAGGAAAGGUGUAACCAUGCUGAAAAGGAAUCUAAGAGGGCUACUGAAUUGGCUGAUAAAGCACGUGCUGAUGCAGCAUCUGCUCAAAAGGAAAAGAGUGAGCUUCAGAAAUUGGCAAUUGAAAGAUUAGCCCAAAUUGAGAGGGCUCAGAGGCAUAUUGAAAGUUUGGAAAGAGAGAGAACUGAUUUAGCAGAUGCAGUUGAUAGAAUAAGAGUGUCAGAGAUGGAGGCUCUUUCGAAAGUUUCACUUCUAGAGGCAAGAGUUGAAGAAAGGGAGAAAGAAAUAGAGUCACUGCUGAAAUCGAAUAAUGAGCAGAGGGCUAGUACGGUUAAAGGCCUUAAGGAUCUUCUGGAUUAUGAGCGUAAAGCCCAUAGUGUUGCAAACAAAAGGGCAGAAGACCUUUCUCUUCAGUUGGAAGCAGCACGGGCAAAGCUUGAUUCACUCCAACAGGAGUUGACAUCAGUUCGUUUGAAUGAGUCAGCAUUGGACAGUAAGCUAAAGGCUGCUUCCCAUGGCAAACGCAUUAGAACUGAUGAUAUUGAAAUGGGUGUAGGAUCUGUUCAAGACAUGGGUACAAAUGACAGGAUUUUAAGACCUAGUAAGAAGUCCAGAAGCACAACAAGCCCUUUAAAGAACACACAGCCAGAAGAUGGUGGUUCAGUGUUCAAGGGUGAUGAGGAUAACCACAGUCAACAAACUGAUCCGGAAGAUUAUACCAAAUUCACGGUGCAGAAACUUAAGCAAGAACUCACAAAACAUAAUUUUGGUGCGGAGCUCCUCCAUUUGAGGAAUCCAAACAAAAAAGACAUCCUUGCUUUGUAUGAGAAAUAUGUUCUCCAGAAGUCGUAGGAGUUCUAUAAUCGACUUGUAUAGGAGGUGUGAUUGUAAUCUACUAGAAGUAUAGUUAAUAGAUCAGUGUGUGCUUUAGAAGUAGGUUUAAGUUCUGAAGCGGUAGGUUGCAGGCCUUCGUACCAGGUUUGGAAAGUCAUAUUUAUGUUAAAAAGAGGAGUUUUAGUCAGAAGUGAGUUGAGGGGGAGAAAGUCUUUGUUCUUCUCUGUUUUUCUAAAUCCCCCUUUAAGAAUAUUUGUUGGCAUUUGGUCAUGGCAGACCUUUUUAUUUGGUGUCCUAUAUGAAUGAACUUUGUAAUGAUUUUCUUGGCUAGUAAAUAUUUGAAUGCCGUUUUCGC
rnacentral:misc_RNA from 1 species